rnacentral:rRNA from 1 species
ACUAACAAGGAUUCCNCGAGUAGCGGCGAGCGAAACGGGAAGAGCCCAGCGCUGAAUCCUGCCGCCCGGGCGGGCGGCCGGGAAAUGUAGCGUUCGGUAGGAGAGUUAAAAUUAAAUCGCGCGGUCAUUAGUCACGGCUGCCAGUCCAAGUUCAUCUUGAACGGGGCCGCUUACCCGCAGAGGGUGCCAGGCCCGUGGUGACGGUAGCCGGCCGCGACGGUCUCCCUACCCAGAGUCGGGUUGCUUGAGAGUGCAGCCCUAAGCGGGUGGUAAACUCCAUCUAAGGCUAAAUACUACCACGGGACCGAWGACGAACAAGUACCG